CGUAGGGUGCGAGCGUUAAUCGGAAUUACUGGGCGUAAAGCGUGCGCAGGCGGUUUUGUAAGACAGAUGUGAAAUCCCCGGGCUCAACCUGGGACCUGCAUUUGUGACUGCAAGGCUAGAGUACGGUAGAGGGGGAUGGAAUUCCGCGUGUAGCAGUGAAAUGCGUAGAUAUGCGGAGGAACACCGAUGGCGAAGGCAAUCCCCUGGACCUGUACUGACGCUCAUGCACGAAAGCGUGGGGAGCAAACAGGAUUAGAUACCCUGGUAGUCCACGCCCUAAACGAUGUCAACUGGUUGUCGGGUCUUUACUGACUCAGUAACGAAGCUAACGCGUGAAGUUGACCGCCUGGGGAGUACGGCCGCAAGGUUG
rnacentral:rRNA from 1 species